rnacentral:lncRNA from 1 species
GAUUUCCAGUUUUAUUUUAAAGUUGAAGAGGUGCUAAUCUAUCUGGUGAGGUUGUGGGAAAAAUUAAUGAAACACAUGAAAGUCCCUUAAACUUGCUAGGACUUACUAAAUGCCAGUUCUGUCUCCUUCCUAACACCUUCCCCCAACCCCCAAUCUCUUCACGCUCACUCUUGUACAUUUCCACCCUGCUGGAAAACGCCUGGUCUUUUCUCUGUGAUCUCUCUCGUGAGUUCAUUAAAUGCCUUAAUUUCAUAGGAGACAAAAAAUUUAAAAAAUAAUGCCAUCGUAUACC